rnacentral:sRNA from 1 species
AUGAACACGCCUGACAAUUUUAUUGCAGGAAAAAUACGUAAUUUUUUAGGGUGCUGGAAAUUGCUUACACAAGAUAAUUGGAUUCUUAGUUUGGUUAAAGGUUACAAAAUUGAAUUUGAUAAUGUACCGCAACAAACCAAAUUACCUGGAACCAUUAAAUUUAAUGAAUCAGAACAGUCUAUAAUUAAUGGAGAAAUUGAAAAAUUUGUACUAAAAAAUGUUGUUCAAAAAGUCAAUAUCCAGGACAUAAACAAACAAGAAUUUAUUUCGAACAUAUUUAUCAGACCGAAGAAAGAUGGGUCUCAUAGGUUAAUAUUAAACUUGAGACAAUUAAACGAACAAGUUGAAUAUCACCAUUUCAAAAUGGAAACACUUAAAACUGCAUUACAAUUAUUAAAACCGAAUGUCUGGUUUGCAUCUGCAGAUUUAAAGGAUGCAUAUUUUUCGGUUAAUGUUGUACAUAGUGAUAGGCAAUUUUUAAGAUUUUAUUGGAAUGGGACAAAAUAUCAAUUUACUUGUCUCCCAAACGGAUUAGCAAGUGCACCGAGAAUAUUUACUAAGCUUUUAAAACCAAUAUUUUCUACACUUCGAAAAAAUGGAUAUUUAAAUGUGGCAUACAUAGAUGAUAGUCUUCUCAUUAGUGACACUUAUCAGCAUUGUUGUGAUAACAUUAAAGACACAUGUAAUCUCCUCGACCAAUGUGGGUUUACUAUUCACCCUAUUAAAUCAGUACUACAUCCAUGUCAAGAAGUAACUUUUUUGGGUUUUGUUAUUAAUUCUAUAACAAUGACAGUAAAAUUAACGUCUGAAAAGGCAAAGACUAUUGUAGUCAUGUGUAAAGUGUUUGUUAAAAAAUGGGAAACAACAAUUAGAGAGUUUUCUCAGUUAAUUGGAAAAUUGGUAGCUUCUGAACCAGCAGUCCAGUAUGCAAACUUUUAUGUCAAACCUCUUGAACAAAAGAAAGACAAAGCAUUAAAGAUUAAUAGAGGAAAUUACGAUGCGAUAAUGUAUUUGGAUUGUGAAAUACACAAACAUUUAAUUUGGUGGAUAAAUAAUAUUGAAAAGUCUAGUAAACCUAUUCUUACUAUAGAACCUAGUAUGAUUCUUCAAUCUGAUAGCUCAAAAACAGGAUGGGGAGGACUGAUUAAACAUCCGAAAUUAGCUAUGGCCAAAACAGGGGGACAUUGGUCUUACCAUGAACAAGAUAAACAUAUAAAUGUGUUAGAGCUUCUUGCAGCCUUUUUAACUCUUAAAAGUUUCUGUGCUACGAAAAACAAUAUUCAUAUAAAAAUAUAUUUGGAUAAUACAGUAGCGGUUCAGUAUAUUAACAAUAUGGGAGGAAGGAAGGACGAGUUGAAUGAGUUAACUAGAGAUAUUUGGAAUUGGUGUAUCAAUAGAAGCAUUUGGUUAAGUGCAUGUCAUUUGCCGGGGAAAACUAACGUAGAGGCAGACAAACUUUCAAGACAUUUAAGUGAUGAUAUGGAGUGGAAGUUAAAUGAAAACAUUUUCAUGAAAAUUCAAAAACUAUUUGGUCCAAGUAAUAUAGACCUCUUUGCGUCACGACUUAAUUGUCAAUUGAACAAGUAUGUUUCAUAUAUUCCAGAUCCAGAUGCGUGUGCAAUUGAUGCAUUUUCUUUUUCUUGGAAUAUGUAUAAUGGCUAUGCUUUUCCUCCUUUCAGUAUAAUUGGAAGAGUACUCCAGAAAGUGGAAGAAGACAAGGCAACAUUGAUAUUGAUAGCACCAAUAUUCACGACUCAAUAAAAUUGAGAAAGGAAAUGGUGAAUAUGUCAAAGCGACAACCACCCGACCAUAGAGCAACAACAGCGAAGCAACCAAUGUCUUCUGUAGCGAGAAUUCCGCACGUAGGUGUCCUUCAGCUGGCCCUAAAUAUGCAUAAUAGUAACAGUGAUAAGGACAUACUAACUCCGAAUUAUACACAAAAAACUAAAAUUUAAAUCAUACAAGAUAACAAAGGCCAGAGGCUCCUGACUUGGGACAGGCGCAAAAUUGCGCGGGGUUAAACAUUUAUGAGAUCUCAACCUCCCCUAUACCUUACCAAUGUAGAAAAGAAAAGAAUAACAAUACGCACAUUAAAAUUCAGUUCAAGAGAAGUCCAGUCUGAUGUCCAAAGAUGUAACAAAAAAUAAAAAAAAUACAAUAAUACAUAAUAACAACAGACUACUAGCAGUAUAACUGACAUGCAGCUCCAGACCUCAAUUAAACUGAUUGAAAGAUUAUGUCUUCAUCAUAUAAUAUCAGGUAAAUCCCUCCCGUUAGGGUUUAGUAUCAUACUAUCAUAAAUAUAUAUAAAGAACAUAACCCGUGUCAUGCCAACACUGUUUUUUUAGAAUAAAUGUGUUUAGUUCCGAUGCAAAGACCCUAUCAGUGAAUCAAUUUAAAAGCCAAAAUAUGCAAUCUUAAUGACUGACAACGUAUCGUAAUAUAUCCUUUAAUAAGUCUAUUUAAGUUUUUUAUUCUGAGGAGAAUACUGACAUUUUUGUGGCUUUAUAAAGAAAUUUCCAUAAAAUUUUGGAUGUGGAAUACCUGAAUGUAAAGAUGUCUGCUGUUGAGUUAUAUUACGAAUUAUUUCCUUUACCGGUGAUAAAAUUUAGUAAAUGUUUGACCAUUUGUGAUAUCGAAAACCCUGGUGUAAUAAUUUUUCAGUAAUACAUAAAUUUCUCUCGCUAAAAUCUAAUACAUUGUUACAUACACGAGCGAAUCGUACAAGUUGAGAUAUAUAAUCACCAUAGAUGGUGACAAGGGAACGUCACCAUCUAAAAUGGAUAUAAAAUAGGAAAGAAAAAUCAUCUCUUUUAUCAUAAAUUUGUAUUAGCUUCCCGUUAUGAUAUAAUAUCAAGAUCGAGGAAAGGGCAGUUCUUGUAUCUAGUUUAUUUAAAGAAGUCUAAGGAUAAUUUCUUUAGUAUACAUACUGAAGUCGUCAUUAUUUAGAGCCAAUAUAUCAUCCAAUAUCAUAAAGUAUGUUAAUUUUUGUAUCAAAUGUUGGGAGGGUCUUUGCUAAUUUAUCAUAAAUUGUAACUCAUAACAAUACAAAAACAGGUCCGCAAUAAGUGGUGCACAGUUAGUCCCCAUUGGAAUUCAAUAAUUGACGCAUAUACGGAAUCUCCAAAGCGAACAAAAUGUUAUCAAGUAAAAAUUCAAGUGCAUAAAUUUUCAAAGCAUGUCCAUUGAAUAGUUCUUUUAUUAUUCCUACUAAAAAUGAUCUGAAAGAGUUUGAAAUAUAUCGCAUUCCGACUUUUUAAAUGCCCAGUUAAUUAGGGAUGUGAAUUUUUUCUAAUAAGAAUAUGAGGCAAGUGGUAUAUAGGUAGAAAAAUCAAACUUUGAAACAGAUUCAAAUCACCAAUAUAUGCAUGCAAUUAUCAAGUACUUCCAACGAGUUUUGACACUCCAAAAAAUUAUUCCACUAUUCAAAGGCUAUAUUUUAACAAUUUUUAUCAGGUUUUUUAUUGUACCAAGUGUACUUAAGUAAAACAGACAUAUUAGUAGAUUGACAAUGGCGGAAGAUGAAAUAAAUCUAUAUUUGUAAGGUUUUUGGCAGCUUCGGAAGCCAGUACAUAGUUGGGACUUUCAUUGUGUUUGGUUCUGCUUGUAAAGAAGUAGCUAAAUUUAUGUUUGUACAGAUGUCGUUUUCUGAAAAUGAAGUCAGUUGGAAUGUUGGUGAAUUCGUUUUUCCUUUUGCAGAACCUCUAUAUAAAUUUACGUCAAAACAAUAAUGAUUUAUUAUUAGCAGCUUUAUCAGCCGGGACAAAACAAAUUCCUUGGCUAGUUCUGUAGUUUUUUUGAUACCGAAAAUAGGGUUUUUAUAGUUUUUGUUGAGGGUAAAAUGUUCUUUAAAUGUUGUAUUCGAAAUCAACUAUCUUCAUUACUGAAUUAAAAAAAGAGUCCAAAGAUUUUUGUCAGCUUUUUCCCGUUUACCCAUUCAAACAGUAGGCGCGGAGUGAGUCGUUGAUGAUAUUACGACACUCAUUCCAUUAAUAGUUGACGGGGGACGAUUUUAGGUCUUUACUGAGGAAUGAUUUAACUCUCGUCGCGAACGAUGUUAAGGUCCUUUAACAUGGGAAAUUGGUCCAUAGGUGUAUUCUGAAUUACUGCAAUUACACGACAUAGGUGUAUUUUCAACCAUGGUUUGCAAAAAUUCUUCAUCUGAUAGCCGGACAAUCUUACAUACUACCAAAGAAAAAUCUGUUGAUUCAUCCAUCAGAUCCUUCAAGGCAACAUCCGUUAAAGAAAAUGCAGUUAGCAGUAUUUCCUUUAUCAGGACAAGACUUAACAGUUUUGGCUUACCAACAGACACUACAAACAUUUUAUAUGACUCAUGGAGAAAUUCCACAAAAAAAGCAAUAUGGGAGUUAUCUCAACAAAUGGGUGCAAUUUUGUGUUAAAAGACAAAUUAAUUCAUUUAAAGCAUCUAAUUCUAUAGUUUUACAAUUUCUGACAGAAUUGUUUCAAAAAGGUCUUGGAUAUAGUGCUAUUAAUACAGCUCGAUCAGCUUUAUCAUCAGUGUUGGAUUGUGGGAAAGAAAAUCCUAUUGGUAAUGAUCCUUUAAUUUGUCGUUUUAUGAAAGGUGUAUAUAAUAAAAGACCAACUUUACCAAGAUAUGAAGUAACAUGGGACGUUGAUGUGAUGUUGAAGUUUUUAUGUACUCUAUCACCUGUAAAUAUGUUGACUUUGAAAAAUCUUACGUUAAAAUUAACAAUGAUACUAAGUUUAUUAACAGCUCAGAGAACACAAACUUUACAUUUGAUGGAUAUCAAUGAUUGUACUGUUAAUACAGAUGAACUAAUUAUAAAAGUGACAAAAUUCAUCAAAACUUCUAAACCAGGUAGCCAUUUGGCAGACAUACAUUUACCAGCAUAUAUCAAAGACAAAUCUUUAUGUGUUGUGGAUACAUUUAAUGAAUACAUUAAAAGAACUCAAUCAUUAAGAGGACAAUAUACUAAGUUAUUUAUUAUGACUAUGAAACCACAUAAACCUGUGUCAAAAAACACGAUUAGCAGAUGGAUUAAAUUAACAAUGAAACUUGCAGGAUUAGAUAUUAACUUGUUUAAGCCGCAUAGUGUUAGAUCAGCUGCAACUUCAUCUGCUAAAAAAGCAGGGAUUUCGAUAGACGUUAUAAUGAAAUCAGCUGGUUGGAAAAAAGAAUCAACUUUUAGAAAGUUUUAUGACAAACCUAUAGUAGACAAUAACAAAAAUAAGGGUUUGAGUAAAACACUUCUUGAUAACUAUCUUUGUCAUGAUCAUUAG